GUGCCUCCUCCCGAUCCAGCCCUAGGGGUGGAGCUGAUUUAUCUCUCGCUCCCUGGCCCAACCCGUCGCUCGUCUUCAUGCUCGAGCGAGCGCCGCCACCCCCUACCCCCUCGCUCCGUCGCUCGUCUUACUCCUCGCGCGAGCGCCUCCACCGCAGAUUGCAGGAAAGGGGUGACAGCAUCUAGUUUAUUCUGUUAACUAAAAAUGAACAAGGGGAAGAUUUUCAAGUUGGCAAAGGGAUUUAGAGGAAGAGCAAAAAAUUGUAUAAGGAUAGCGCGGGAGAGGGUUGAGAAGGCCUUGCAAUACUCCUACAGGGAUAGGCGUAACAAGAAGAGAGAUAUGCGAUCGCUAUGGAUUGAGCGCAUCAAUGCGGGUACACGACUCCAUGGGGUGAACUAUGGCAAUUUCAUGCAUGGGUUGACGAAGGAGAAUAUCCAACUUAACAGGAAGGUGCUCUCGGAGCUGUCAAUGCAUGAGCCAUACAGCUUCAAGGCACUUGUUGAUGUAUCUCGCACUGCAUUUCCAGGGAACAGGCCACCUGCCCAAAAAGAGGGUCUAGCGGCUAUUCUGUGAAACGAUUUGUCUGUUAAAUCACUGUGGUCAUGAUGGUCUUGGUUUUUUUCUCCAAGUUACUAGUAGUCUAUGACUGUUGUCUUUCAACUUAUAUCCAGGAGGUGACUCGUGUAAUCUGUGGCUUACAUGUAUGCAAGUCAUUCCCUGUGGUUUAGCACGAAAAUCUUUUGUUCAUUUUGUGCCUUCCUGUUGGUCUUAUGGAUAUAGUUCUCUAUGCAUCUUCGUCAAUUUCAGCAAUAUGGAUUAUAAGUUCUGUAGCAAUACAAAUAGAUUGGUGACUCUUUGUUAGUUUGUCAUGGUGUCCAUUGCUCUCAAAUGUAUAUUGUCAAAGCACUUAGUUUGGAGAGAUAAACAAGGAAUAUUGCAGGGACCUUCAUUUUUAAGCAGAGUUAGAAUUAUGAUAUUCAGAAUUGUUUUGAAGUGAUGGAUUCUUCCGGCUUGAUUGCAGCAAAUCCACUGUCUAUUCAGAAUUGUUUUGAAGUUAGUAAAAGCAUCUUAUAUUUAGGAGCGGACCGGGUAUUUAUCACUCUGAUUAUACUUGACGUUCCACACAUUGGUGUAGGCGUGUGGCAGACUACUACCACAUUUUAUCGAUUCAGAUGGGUUGCUACAGAUCUGAACUCACUGUACUUCAUAUGCAUAUUUGUGAUCAACUCCAGAAAUAAAGGAACAAAUUUCAUUUGAGGCUUUUCUGCAACUGUGAUAUGCAUUCAGUAUGUGUGCUCUAGCCAACAAUUCCUGGCCAAUCCAGGAGAGAAGCGACAAUGUGCUCUGGCCAACAAUUCCUGGCCUAUCCAGGAGAGAAGCGACAAUGUGCUCUGUGAAAAAUGCUGCGGUGUGUACAGAAUGUUACGGGAUAACUUUCUGGUGCGCCUGACCUCUCUUUUCCGAGCGGGAUGCCGGGAUACGAAGAAAACAGGGGAAGGAGUUCUCAUCCUAGGACAAUUAUCUUCUGCAGAUAGGUUGUGUUUGAUUCUCUUUUCCAAGUCUGUAACGAAUUGCACAUCAGAUCUGCGCCUCACUUUUGUCUCCAUGCUUCCCUUCAUAAACAUCUGUCUCCACGCCAGUGUGAACGCCGCAUGCUGAUCAGACCACCAAAGCCAUGGAUGCAGCGAGUGCGCUUUGAGCUGCUGGUUUCCUCUUGGCUGGAAUGCACUGCUGUAUUUAUCAGUCCAUGAGGAAUAAAGCAGACGUCCAUGAUUGCAUUAUCGAACAGUGAAAGCAAGAUAGAU